UAUAAAACGUCUGCGGAUUGAUGCCACCUGCAAUAACAACGUUACAGCGUAAAAGUUAGUUAUCAACUCGAUAACGUAUGUAUUAUCCGGAAAAACUUCAUAAGUUAUAACAGUAGUAAGUUAUUAAAAUUUUAUCUGAAAAAGGGCCAAUGCGAAGAUUGUAUUUUGUUUAAAAAUAGUGACGCUACGAUCUUGUUCACGUGCUACAGUGCUACGAUAUUCUUUACAUAAUUUUCGAAAAAAUGGCGCCAAAUAUAACACCAACAGGAGUAUUAUUUGAGGGUGAUAUUGUUGCCGAGUCGCAAAUGAUCGAGGAGCCCAA